UCUCGCGACUCCUCUCUCCCCCACGAGCCUCUCUCCCUCGCCGCCGCCACCACCUGCGCCGGCCAGUUCCGGCGAGCUCCGGCGGCGCGCAGCACACCCCCGAGCUCCCCUAGGUCCGCUCCACCUCCCCCUCCGUCCAGAAUCCGCGCUCCCGCCCUCCACCGUCCCCGUGGCUAGCUAGGGUUUCGGCCGCCACCCCUAACAUCGCCGGGAUCAGCCACAUCUGGCGACGGCGAGGCCUGAGCUCGACGGAUCCGUUACCGGCAUGGCGCAGGUCACCUUGGCGCGGCCUGGACGACGAGGACGGCAGGAGGGCGCCGUCCUUCCUACUCGAGGAAGCGGAGGACGAGGGGCGCACCUAGCUGGCGGCCCUGUCCUACUCGAGGAGGCGGGGGCUGCCUAGCUCAAGCACGGCCACGACGACCCACCUCGGCAGAUGUCCUUGGAGAAGAUGGCCAUUGGAGUGUAGGGGAGGAACAACCUUGUCUUGCUCAAGGAGGAGGACCACCCGAUCUCGACGACGGCAUGGCAACAGGUAGCACUCGCCUCCCUCCCAAGGUGAAGGUCUGAUCCGCCUGUUUACAUGGUCUGCUCUUGUCUUAUGCAUGUGAGGGGAGAAGAAAGCCAUUGGACUGAAUUAUAUUUGCAUGUGAGGGGAGCGGUCUUUUUGGUAGAUGCAGAGUAUAGAUUCACAAAAUUCACCACAUGAGCGUACUACCUAUAUCCAAAUUCUGGAUAGCACUUGCAUCUUUUGUAUGUACACAUGAAAAAGCAUGACGGUUUGCUUCAGUUUGUAUGUGUCCAAUUGUUUUCUUACUUUGACUGAAACUAUCUAUCUUGGUGGCACUUGCAUCUCCUGUACAUACAUACAUAUGAAUCAGCACCACACUUCUCUUCAGUUUGUAUGUGUCAUUUUUUUGGUUGAACUUUGACUGAAACCAACU